ACUACAGGAUUCCCCUAGUAACGGCGAGUGAAGCGGGAUCAGCUCAAAUUUGUAAUCUGGCGGUCUACGGCCGUCCGAGUUGUAGUCUAGAGAGGCGUUUUCCGUGCCGGACCGUGUACAAGUCCCUUGGGAUAGGGCAUCGUAGAGGGUGAGAAUCCCGUCCACGACACGGACUCCCGGUGCUCUGUGAUGCGCCUUCAAAGAGUCGAGUUGUUUGGGAAUGCAGCUCAAAAUGGGUGGUAAAUUCCAUCUAAAGCUAAAUAUGGGCGGGAGACCGAUAGCGAACAAGUACCGUGAGGGAAAGAUGAAAAGCACUUUGGAAAGAGAGUUAAACAGUACGUGAAAUUGUUGAAAGGGAAACGCUUGGAGUCAGUCACGUCCGCCGGGACUCAGCCGGGCUUCUGUCCGACGUAUUUCUCGGUGGAUGGGCCAGCAUCGAUUUCAGCCGCCGGAAAAGGGCGAGGGGAAUGUGGCACCUCCGGGUGUGUUAUAGCCCCCCGUCGCACACGGUGGCCGGGAUCGAGGAAUGCAGCGCGCCUCAGCGGCCGGGGUUCGCCCACGCACGCGCUUAGGAUGCUGGCGUAAUGGCUUUAAACGACCCGUCUUGAAACACGGACCAAGGAGUCUAACAUGCCCGCGAGUGUUCGGGUGGCAAACCCGUCCGCGUAAUGAAAGUGAGAAGUUGGGACUCCCCUAAACAAGGAGGCACCGACGCCCGAACCAGACCUCUUGUGACGGUUUUGAGGCAGAGCGUGUAUGUUGGGACCCGAAAGAUGGUGAACUAUGCCUGAAUAGGGCGAAGCCAGAGGAAACUCUGGUGGAGGCUCGUAGCGAUUCUGACGUGCAAUCGAUCGUCAAAUUUGGGUAUAGGGGGCGAAAGACUAUUCGAACCAUCUAGUAGCUGGGUCCUGCCGA
rnacentral:rRNA from 1 species